rnacentral:rRNA from 1 species
ACGCUCGACACCUACGGGAGGCNGCAGUCGGGAAUAUUGCGCAAUGGAGGAAACUCUGACGCAGUGACGCCGCGUGCAGGAAGAAGGUUUUCGGAUUGUAAACUGCUUUAGACAGGGAAGAAAGAAAUGACAGUACCUGUAGAAUAAGCUCCGGCUAACUACGUGCCAACAGCCGCGGUAAUCUGAGCGGGCUGGCAAGGC